AGUGUCAAUCCACCAUCUUCUGCCAGUGAACUUGUCUUUGGGUUUUUGUUUGGUGUGUGUGUGGGGGGGGAUGUUGUUGUGUGUGUGUGUAUGUGUGUGUGUGCUUUUUUUGGAAGGGGGGAGGGGAAAGACAAAGUGGGGGCCGGAGGUGGGGGGAAGAGUAGGGAGAAUGUGUGUCUGUGAGUGUGUGUUGAGUGUGAGUGUGUCUCUGUGUGUGUAGGGGUCGAGGUGGGGGGGGUCCGUGUUUGCGAUCUGAACCUUUGGUACCUACAAGGAGGGUGUCUCACCGAACGGUAGCUAAAACCUCACCAGAACCGCGCGGAAGUGAGAAGUCGCGGCCAAAGGCGCCCGCAGAAGCCUCCUCUCUGGGCCGGACCCCAGCCCGAGCGGCCGAAAGGAGCCCCCCGCCCGGAUCACAGAAGUUUACAAGGAAAGGGGAAAUGUCUGAAAUGGAGAUUGCACAAUCCUGUCUUGAAGCAGAAGACUCAGCUAGAGCACAUCUGGAAACACCUGGCACUCCUCAAUAGAAUUCAAAUGCUAUUUUAAAAGAUGUAAAAUCUGAGCUGCAACACUGAACAAAAGCUGUACUUGCCAGCCAGCAAAGAUGCUACCACUCUGCACAACAGAUAAAACCCAUACAUAUAGGGAAGUCAAAAGAGUCUUUAAGCUACAGUGUUUGAGAGGCUGUUUGUCUCUGAUGGAAAAUUAAGAAAAUGAGUCCAUUUCUAAGAAGAUGUGGUUCGAACAUACAGAGCUACAUAAUAUGAGUAAAAUAGGACCUAACAGUAGUGUUCUCCAGCAUUGCUCUGCCUUUCCUUUUCUGGAUGUAACAACAUUACUAAGAAAGGAAGAAAAAGCAAAAAUCUGCUCUCGGGGAGAUUCCAGAAUGUUGGAAAGCCCCAAAUGGAAGUCUCUGCUUUGGUUACAGGACAUAAGGUUUAAUAAAUAAAAAGAUGCUCAUCUGGGAUGCUGCACCAAUUAUCAUGUACUAAAUAAGGUUACCUACUUCACUCUCCAGGUAGAAAUGUCUAUCAUAAGCAUGUGCCACAGAAGGUCUCUCAAGUAUCAUUAUUGGCUGUGUUGAAUUUUGUUUUUAGUUCUCUUUUAUAAGGUCUGUAGUCUUACUUUCAGUGAGGAAGUGUUUUCUCAGGUUCUCAAGAAAGUAACAAAAUGCCAGCAUUGUCAAGGUCACCAUUGCCACUGAAUUAUCUUACUGUCUGAUUAUUCCAUCUUCCUCUGCAUCAUAUUAGCCUGAUGACUACAUUCUAAUUAUUUAAAGCGUUAUGUAAAUCAAAGCAGUAAAUGUAAUUUCUAGUCUUACUAGAUAUCAUGUACAUUAGGUCGAAUAACUCUAGAAAUGUCGUCAUAAUCAUGUCAUGCCUAAUGAUGACCUACUCAGCCCCUGCCAACAUCAUUCAAUUACUCAUUUCAGUAUUGAUUUUUCUCAUGCCUCUCUUCGUGGCAUUUAAACAGCCCUCACAUCUCCCCUUUUACUGAGGUGUAAUGUUGUAUAAUGACAGAGAUGCUUUGCUUCCCAGAUUCAUAAUGUUACACUCUGUUUCAAAUCCUUUUGGAGACAAAUUGGGGAAUCAAUAUAUAAAUAAUGACACACUUAUUUUUAAUUAAAAUCACUGCUUUCACAGAAAUGGUAUAUUAAAAUUAUUUUUGCUAAAAAAAUUUUAAAUACCUAUGUACGAUAAAAAGACUGCCAAUCCUUGGGAUCAAGAAUAUAAUUUGCCCCAAAUAACUUUUCUGUAAAAGUAGAAUUCUUAAUGGAAAAUAGAUUAAUACAUAUAAUUUCAAGAUCUAACCUUAAAAAUGGAAAUAAUGUGUCCAUUUUUAAAAAUAAAUCAUAUUUACAUACACUGUGUUUAUGAGA
rnacentral:lncRNA from 1 species